AGAUAGAAMCCGMCCUGGCUCMCACCGGUUUAAACUCAGAYCAUGUAAAAUUUUAAAGGUCGAACAGACCUAAUUUAUUAGCUUCUACACCAAUAAUUAAUUUUAAUCCAACAUCGAGGUCGCAAUCUUCCUUUUCGAUAAGAACUCUAAAAAAAAUUACGCUGUUAUCCCUAAGGUAAUUUAAUCUUUUAAUCUAAAUCUUAGGAUCAUAAAUCUAAAAAUAAAUAUUAAAAUAAAGAAAAGUUAACUUAAUUUUCCUAUCACCCCAACAAAAUAUACAAAAACAAAAUCUAAAUAAAAUAAACCUUAUAUCCAAAUAUGUAUUUAUAUAUAAAACUCUAUAGGGUCUUCUCGUCUUCUAUGAAAAUUUAAGCUUUCUUACUUAAAAAUAAAAUUCUAAUAAAUUUCUUUAGAGACAGUCAUUUUUUCAUUAAACCCUUCAUCCCAGCUUUCAAUUAAAAAACUAAUGACUAUGCUACCUUUGCACGGUCAAUAUACCGCGGCCAUUUAAGUACUCASUGGGCAGGKCAGACUUGAAAUUAUUAUCAACAAGCCAUGKUUUUAAUAAC
rnacentral:rRNA from 1 species